rnacentral:rRNA from 1 species
GGCUCAGAUUGAACGCUGGCGGCAUGCCUUACACAUGCAAGUCGAACGGCAGCGCGGGGCAACCUGGCGGCGAGUGGCGAACGGGUGAGUAAUAUAUCGGAACGUGCCCUGGAGUGGGGGAUAACGUAGCGAAAGUUACGCUAAUACCGCAUACGAUCCAUGGAUGAAAGCAGGGGACCGCAAGGCCUUGUGCUCCUGGAGCGGCCGAUAUCUGAUUAGCUAGUUGGUGGGGUAAAAGCCUACCAAGGCGACGAUCAGUAGCUGGUCUGAGAGGACGACCAGCCACACUGGAACUGAGACACGGUCCAGACUCCUACGGGAGGCAGCAGUGGGGAAUUUUGGACAAUGGGGGCAACCCUGAUCCAGCAAUGCCGCGUGAGUGAAGAAGGCCUUCGGGUUGUAAAGCUCUUUUGUCAGGGAAGAAACGGUUGGUUCUAAUAAAGCUGACUAAUGACGGUACCUGAAGAAUAAGCACCGGCUAACUACGUGCCAGCAGCCGCGGUAAUACGUAGGGUGCAAGCGUUAAUCGGAAUUACUGGGCGUAAAGCGUGCGCAGGCGGUUUUGUAAGACAGAUGUGAAAUGCCCGGGCUUAACCUGGGAACUGCAUUUGUGACUGCAAGGCUGGAAUCUGGCAGAGGGGGGUAGAAUUCCACGUGUAGCAGUGAAAUGCGUAGAGAUGUGGAGGAACACCGAUGGCGAAGGCAGCCCCCUGGGCCGAGAUUGACGCUCAUGCACGAAAGCGUGGGGAGCAAACAGGAUUAGAUACCCUGGUAGUCCACGCCCUAAACGAUGUCUACUAGUUGUCGGGUCUUAAUUGACUUGGUAACGCAGCUAACGCGUGAAGUAGACCGCCUGGGGAGUACGGUC